UGGGGAAUCUUGCGCAAUGGGCGAAAGCCUGACGCAGCCAUGCCGCGUGAGUGAUGAAGGCCUUAGGGUUGUAAAACUCUUUCACCGGGGACGAUAAUGACGGUACCCGGAGAAGAAGCCCCGGCUAACUUCGUGCCAGCAGCCGCGGUAAUACGAAGGGGGCUAGCGUUGCUCGGAAUUACUGGGCGUAAAGGGCGCGUAGGCGGAUCAGCAAGUUGGGGGUGAAAGCCCGGGGCUCAACCUCGGAAUUGCCUUCAAAACUGCUGAUCUAGAGUACGGGAGAGGUGUGUGGAACUCCGAGUGUAGAGGUGAAAUUCGUAGAUAUUCGGAAGAACACCAGUGGCGAAGGCGGCACACUGGCCCGUUACUGACGCUGAGGCGCGAAAGCGUGGGGAGCAAACAGGAUUAGAUACCCUGGUAGUCCACGCUGUAAACGAUGAUUGCUAGUUGUCGGCAGGCAUGCCUGUCGGUGACGCAGCUAACGCAUUAAGCAAUCCGCCUGGGGAGUACGGUCGCAAGAUUAAAACUUAAAU
rnacentral:rRNA from 1 species